GACGUAGGGCGCGAGCGUUGUCCGGAUUUAUUGGGCGUAAAGAGCUCGUAGGCGGCUUGUCACGUCGACUGUGAAAACCCGCGGCUCAACCGCGGGCCUGCAGCCGAUACGGGCAGGCUAGAGUUCGGCAGGGGAGACUGGAAUUCCUGGUGUAGCGGUGAAAUGCGCAGAUAUCAGGGGGAACACCGAUGGCGAAGGCAGGUCUCUGGGCCGAUACUGACGCUGAGGAGCGAAAGCGUGGGGAGCGAACAGG
rnacentral:rRNA from 1 species